GAUGCAGGCGGCUGGGUCCACACCUGCUGUCCCACGUGGUCCAGCACCGCACCUAUCUCAGAAGUUGCCUCCACAGAGGGAAGGAGCUGGCUGGGAGGCGGAGGAGGCGUCUGCCUGGGCAGCCUCCACACCUAAGUAAGUGGAAGAACCAGAGGCCCAGAGUAGGAAGAGACUGAGCAGGGCCCUCUCACCGGAUUCUGGCUUCUGAGUCUCAGCUAUUCAUCCAAGCUCUGAUUCUGUGCCUGCUCUCUGAGAUAGACAAGAGCCAGCCCUUCCCUGGGGAAGUUCUCGGCCUAGCAGAGCAGACAGACAGACAGACAGACGCCGGUCUGAUUCAGCCCCAGAGGCUGCAACGUGUCACAGGGGCGCUGCAGUGGGAGUAACGGAGGGGAGAGCCACCAGAGGGACUCCUCUCUGCCCUCUGCACCUCGCUCCUGCCUUCAUCUCUCAGCACGAGACGACAUUGGUGCUUGGCCGAUGGCUCGUAUUUACGAGUGAGGCAUCUGGAAGCUCUGCAUGCAUGUGUGAAUUUCAUCAAGGGAGGUGUCAAGUGGAGCCCCCCAGAUGUCACUGUUUGCCCAGUCACCGGCAUUCAGGGAGCCAACAGGGAGAACAGGGCAAGGGGCUCUCCCCAUUUGGCUUGCCAACAUUCAGCAGAUGCCCAUUUUUCAAUAAACUGCUUCGUUUCCAC